GUACACACAGACAGUCUCUCUUAGACCACAGGUACACACAGACAGUCUCUCUUAGACCACAGGUACACACAGACAGUCUCUCUUAGACCACAGGUACACACAGACAGUCUCUCUUAGACCACAGGUACACACAGACAGUCUCUCUUAGACCACAGGUACACACAGACAGUCUCUCUUAGACCACAGGUACACACAGACAGUCUCUCUUAGACCACAGGUACACACAGACAGUCUCUCUUAGACCACAGGUACACACAGACAGUCUCUCUUAGACCACAGGUACACACAGACAGUCUCUCUUAGACCACAGGUACACACAGACAGUCUCUCUUAGACCACAGGUACACACAGACAGUCUCUCUUAGACCACAGGUACACACAGACAGUCUCUCUUAGACCACAGGUACACACAGACAGUCUCUCUUAGACCACAGGUACACACAGACAGUCUCUCUUAGACCACAGGUACACACAGACAGUCUCUCUUAGACCACAGGUACACACAGACAGUCUCUCUUAGACCACAGGUACACACAGACAGUCUCUCUUAGACCACAGGUACACACA